GACGGAAGGCGUGGAAGCGGGAGGGGCCUUCGUGUGAAAAUCCCUUGUGGGGUUUGGUGUUUCACUUUUUAAAGGUUAGACCUUGCGGGCUCUCUGCCUCCCACCCCUUCUUUUCCAUCCGCGUAAAGGAACUGGGCGCCCCCUCUCCCUCCCUCCCUGGGGCGCAGGUUUCGCCGCGGACUCCGCGCUCAGCUUGGGAGACACGGCAGGGGCGCGCCCCAGGGAAAGGCGGCCGUAAAAGUUUCGCGGUUGAGCACUGGGCCUGAUGUCCAGUCCCCCCACCAAAUUACUCCUGCAAAGACGCGGGCUUCUUGCAAUUGAGCCCCCCACCUCGAGGUAUUUAAAACCACCCCAAGGCACACACGGACCCCCGUUCCCCCGCGCCACUUCCUCCUACAGGCUCGCGCGGCGCGUUAAAGUCUGGGAGACACGAGUUGCGGGGAAACAGCACCGGAAGAGCCCGGGCUUGUAAAAUGCGAAUCAAUGAAUACGAAAUAAGGGCAACCGCGAGGCAGCGCCGGGAAGGGCUGGAGCGCGCGGGGGUGCAGGGAGUCCCUCCCUGGGCGCCGCAACGGCACCUCCUCCCUUUCCCGGCUCCGUCCCGCCCUCCCUCGGCCUCUGCGGACGCGACCCACGCAGACCACAGCCGAGCCCGCCGGACCCCGGGACUACGGAAGCCAUCCCGUCCGGCCACCCACACCCGCGCCGCGGCUGGGGCUUGGGUUGGGGACUGUGGCGGCGAAGAAGCCGGGGUAGGAAGAGCUAAUGGCAAUGGCGGGGUCGCCGGGGGGCGGGGGGUCAGCAGCAGACGCUGAGCUGUGAAGACUAGGGUGGCCCCGAAAGGCCGAGGAAAGGAGAAAGGGCCAUGAGAAGAGUCUGGCGAGCGCUCGAGGCCGGGGGGCUGCCUCCCGGCUCUGGCCCGGCCUCCGCUUCCCGGCACCUGCUGCUGGGGCGCCCACGUGCGCGCGGGGCUGCGCGGGGCGUUGGGUGCUCGUCGCAGUCCUGCCCACGCCUAGCGCAGCGGCUGUGAGUGGGUGGAGGUCUCCUGCCAGUAAGUUGGGAUGAGGGACGAUGAGGUGACCCCCAAGUCUGGAAGGGAUUCAGAGUCUCACACGCGCCCCCAAGCCUCCUACCACCACACCAAAGUGCUGGUUCCUCGAUUUCCAGGGUGGGGUAAAGUGACCGAGCAAAGGGGAUGGUGUGUUUGUGUGUGCGCGCGCAUAUACGCGCGCGCGUGUUGUGCAUCCGUGUAAUGAAAGUUGGGUCAUGGGUCAACCCGGGAGUAGAGCGAGAUGGAGACCUAAAGAGAGAAAGCUGAGAGAAGGGGGAAGACAUGGACAGGGUAAGAGAGAGAGAAAGGAGAGAGAGAAGAAAGGGAAAAGAGGAGCGGGGAGAGAAAAGAGAGGCAGGAGAGAGAAUGAGGGGACAGAAGAGAGUAGGGAGACGAGAAGGCGGAGGACAGAAGAAAUGGGGGAGAGGGAAGAGGACAGAGAGGCUGCGCGCCUCUGAAUACGCCAAGUCCAGCAGAGCUGGAGGCCUGUGAGAGGAGCUGCAAGCUUGAGCAAAGGGAGAGAGGUGAGCGGAUGAAGGGAGAUUGGGAGGGAGUUCUCACAAGAUCUGAUGGUUUAAGCGUGGCAGUUUCCCCUGAGCUCUCCUUCCUGCUGGUAUGUAAGGCGUGCUUUGCUUCCUCUUCACCUUCCGCCAUGAUUGUACAUUUCCUGAGGCCUCCCCAGCCAUGCAGAACUGCAUACAACUUAGGAUUCAUAACUACAUAUAUACGGAUAGAAGUGCAUGAACAGAAAAUCUGCCCUUCUGGAAUACCAAAUGCAAAAUUAAAGUGACUACAAGCAGAAUUUGGAGAAAAAAAUAAAAGAUGCAAUAUAGUUUUUAAAAUCAUUGUUAAAAUAUAAUGAGUCUGUACUUUGCUUAAACAAUAAAAAAGUCUUCGAUUU
rnacentral:lncRNA from 1 species